rnacentral:sRNA from 1 species
UGCAUACCUGUCCUAAUGUCGCCAACCAC